ACAGAAUUGUGGUCUAGAACAACUAUAAGGCUUUCGUUUUGACCAAGCUGAGAUGUGAUCAGGCCGUAUAAAGUCCACGCCACCGGUGAACCCCAGUAAUACCACCUCCACCAGAUCGGUAUUUGCUGCAAUGUUCAGGUUAUUUUUAACUUGUUAGAUUCUAUUAACGUAAUUCAUUCAAACUAAUAAUCACUCUAGAUUAGUUGUCGUACCAUUCUGGGGAUCAUGAAACCAGAAAACAAGUUCCAUAACCUAAGGAAGAACGACAUAGUAAUGGCUGCAAUCUGAUAAUUGGGUGUGAGGGCUACAAGCAUCAUCCCGUAUAAUGUGAAAUAGACAAAGCACAUGAAUAUGAAGAAGUAGAACCAUAGAAACUUGUCUGCCGACCACUGGAACCCAAUCAUGGAGUAAAGCAGAAGAGUGUAUAUGAGUGUCUGUAUUCCUACAUAAACCACCUCAAUGGCCAACUUCAGCCAAAAUAAUGAUCUAGUUUUAGUUUUCCAUAUAAACACUUGCAAAUAUAAACAUAAAUAGUUAAACAGUUUUCUUGUACCUGGGCAAAUGUGUAAGGAAUUGUUGAAUACAUCCCUGAUGCUUUCUCACGAUAGAAAACCGUUCUUUCUAUAGACACCACAGACUGUACAACUGCAGUGUUGGUCCCACCAAGAAACACCACAGCAGCAUACAUAGCUCCCAUCAGAUUCAUUACAUCUUGUUGUUGGUUCCUGUUGAAGUCACGACCCAUAACCUUUCAGAAAUGCACGCCAUAAAUGAAAACUAUAUGUUCGAUUUCUAAUUUCUUACAAUUUUUGGCCUUUGUCCCAGAAAAUCACUCCAAAGAGUAUGCCAAUCACUGUCGUCAUGAAGAACCGGACAGCAUUAUACUGUGGAUGCCUCCAGUAAGACCAGUGUUGUUUCCAUAAACAAGCCAUGCAUUGUGUCCGAAAGGAUUGAGAGUACUUUGUAGGGAAGU
rnacentral:lncRNA from 1 species